rnacentral:rRNA from 1 species
UACAGAGGGUGCAAGCGUUAAUCGGAAUUACUGGGCGUAAAGCGCACGUAGGCGGUUGGUUAAGUUGGAUGUGAAAGCCCCGGGCUCAACCUGGGAAUUGCAUUCAAAACUGGCCAACUAGAGUAUGUGAGAGGGGGGUAGAAUUCCAAGUGUAGCGGUGAAAUGCGUAGAGAUUUGGAGGAAUACCAGUGGCGAAGGCGGCCCCCUGGCACAACACUGACGCUCAGGUGCGAAAGCGUGGGGAGCAAACAGG